rnacentral:rRNA from 1 species
CACAGAGCAAUCUGUGUGACUGCGUACCUUUUGUAUAAUGGGUCAGCGACUUAUAUUCUGUAGCAAGGUUAACCGAAUAGGGGAGCCGAAGGGAAACCGAGUCUUAACUGGGCGUUAAGUUGCAGGGUAUAGACCCGAAACCCGGUGAUCUAGCCAUGGGCAGGUUGAAGGUUGGGUAACACUAACUGGAGGACCGAACCGACUAAUGUUGAAAAAUUAGCGGAUGACUUGUGGCUGGGGGUGAAAGGCCAAUCAAACCGGGAGAUAGCUGGUUCUCCCCGAAAGCUAUUUAGGUAGCGCCUCGUGAAUUCAUCUCCGGGGGUAGAGCACUGUUUCGGCAAGGGGGUCAUCCCGACUUACCAACCCGAUGCAAACUGCGAAUACCGGAGAAUGUUAUCACGGGAGACACACGGCGGGUGCUAACGUCCGUCGUGAAGAGGGAAACAACCCAGACCGCCAGCUAAGGUCCCAAAGUCAUGGUUAAGUGGGAAACGAUGUGGGAAGGCCCAGACAGCCAGGAUGUUGGCUUAGAAGCAGCCAUCAUUUAAAGAAAGCGUAAUAGCUCACUGGUCGAGUCGGCCUGCGCGGAAGAUGUAACGGGGCUAAACCAUGCACCGAAGCUGCGGCAGCGACACUGUGUGUUGUUGGGUAGGGGAGCGUUCUGUAAGCCUGUGAAGGUGUGCUGUGAGGCAUGCUGGAGGUAUCAGAAGUGCGAAUGCUGACAUAAGUAACGAUAAAGCGGGUGAAAAGCCCGCUCGCCGGAAGACCAAGGGUUCCUGUCCAACGUUAAUCGGGGCAGGGUGAGUCGACCCCUAAGGCGAGGCCGAAAGGCGUAGUCGAUGGGAAACAGGUUAAUAUUCCUGUACUUGGUGUUACUGCGAAGGGGGGACGGAGAAGGCUAUGUUGGCCGGGCGACGGUUGUCCCGGUUUAAGCGUGUAGGCUGGUUUUCCAGGCAAAUCCGGAAAAUCAAGGCUGAGGCGUGAUGACGAGGCACUACGGUGCUGAAGCAACAAAUGCCCUGCUUCCAGGAAAAGCCUCUAAGCAUCAGGUAACAUCAAAUCGUACCCCAAACCGACACAGGUGGUCAGGUAGAGAAUACCAAGGCGCUUGAGAGAACUCGGGUGAAGGAACUAGGCAAAAUGGUGCCGUAACUUCGGGAGAAGGCACGCUGAUAUGUAGGUGAAGUCCCUCGCGGAUGGAGCUGAAAUCAGUCGAAGAUACCAGCUGGCUGCAACUGUUUAUUAAAAACACAGCACUGUGCAAACACGAAAGUGGACGUAUACGGUGUGACGCCUGCCCGGUGCCGGAAGGUUAAUUGAUGGGGUCAGCGCAAGCGAAGCUCUUGAUCGAAGCCCCGGUAAACGGCGGCCGUAACUAUAACGGUCCUAAGGUAGCGAAAUUCCUUGUCGGGUAAGUUCCGACCUGCACGAAUGGCGUAAUGAUGGCCAGGCUGUCUCCACCCGAGACUCAGUGAAAUUGAACUCGCUGUGAAGAUGCAGUGUACCCGCGGCAAGACGGAAAGACCCCGUGAACCUUUACUAUAGCUUGACACUGAACAUUGAGCCUUGAUGUGUAGGAUAGGUGGGAGGCUUUGAAGUG